rnacentral:rRNA from 1 species
UACGAAGGGGGCUAGCGUUGUUCGGAUUUACUGGGCGUAAAGCGCACGUAGGCGGAUGUGUCAGUCAGGGGUGAAAUCCCGGAGCUCAACUUCGGAACUGCCCUUGAUACAGCACGUCUUGAGUCCGAUAGAGGUGGGUGGAAUUCCUAGUGUAGAGGUGAAAUUCGUAGAUAUUAGGAAGAACACCGGUGGCGAAGGCGGCCCACUGGAUCGGUACUGACGCUGAGGUGCGAAAGCGUGGGGAGCAAACAGG